GGAAGAGUGGCCGAGUUGGUUAAGGCAAAAGAUUGCUAAUCUUUGACAGAUUUUCUGUCCCCUGGGUUCGAAUCCCAGUUCUUCCG
rnacentral:tRNA from 1 species